rnacentral:rRNA from 1 species
CAGCAGCCGCGGGAAUACCAGCACCUCGAGUGGUCAGGAGGUUUAUUGGGCCUAAAGCAUCCGUAGCCGGUUGCAUAAGUUUUCGGUUAAAUCUAUGCGCUUAACGUAUAGGCCGCCGAAAAUACUGUGCAGCUAGGGAGUGGGAGAGGUACACGGUACUCGAUAGGAAGGGGUAAAAUCCUUUGAUCUAUUGAUGACCACUUGUGGCGAAGGCGGUGUACCAGAACACGUUCGACGGUGAGGGAUGAAAGCUGGGGGAGCAAACCGGAUUAGAUACCCCGGUAGUCCCUGUCUCUUAUAC